rnacentral:rRNA from 1 species
AUUGAACGCUGGCGGCAUGCUUUACACAUGCAAGUCGAACGGUAACAGGGAGCUUGCUCCGCUGACGAGUGGCGAACGGGUGAGUAAUGCGUCGGAACGUGCCGAGUAGUGGGGGAUAACGCAUCGAAAGGUGUGCUAAUACCGCAUACGAACUGAGGUUGAAAGUGGGGGACCUUCGGGCCUCACGCUAUUCGAGCGGCCGACGUCUGAUUAGCUAGUAGGUGAGGUAAUGGCUCACCUAGGCGACGAUCAGUAGCGGGUCUGAGAGGAUGAUCCGCCACACUGGGACUGAGACACGGCCCAGACUCCUACGGGAGGCAGCAGUGGGGAAUUUUGGACAAUGGGCGCAUGCCUGAUCCAGCCAUGCCGCGUGUCUGAAGAAGGCCUUCGGGUUGUAAAGGACUUUUGUCUGGGAGCAAAUACCCGGUGUUAAUAGCGCCGGGGGCUGAGAGUACCAGAAGAAUAAGCACCGGCUAACUACGUGCCAGCCGCCGCCGUAAAAC